UAAGGAAUAUUGGGCAAUGGACGCAAGUCUGACCCAGCCAUGCCGCGUGAAGGAUGAAUGUCCUAUGGAUUGUAAACUUCUUUUAUGCAGGAAAAAUAUCUCGGUCGUGAACCGGGACUGAUGGUACUGUAUGAAUAAGCAUCGGCUAACUCCGUGCCAGCAGCCGCGGUAAUACGGAGGAUGCAAGCGUUAUCCGGAUUCAUUGGGUUUAAAGGGUGCGCAGGCGGAAUGAUAAGUCAGUGGUGAAAUCUCCCGGCUCAACCGGGAAACUGCCAUUGAUACUGCCAUUCUUGAGUACAGUUGAAGUGGGCGGAAUGUGUCAUGUAGCGGUGAAAUGCUUAGAUAUGACACAGAACACCGAUAGCGAAGGCAGCUCACUAAGCUGUAACUGACGCUCAUGCACGAAAGCAUGGGGAUCAAACA
rnacentral:rRNA from 1 species